UUUUAAAAUUUAGCCUUAAAAAUAAAAAAAUAAAAUUAUUAAAUUGCUAUUAGUUUUCAGGAUUAACUAUAUGGAGCUCUAUGUAAACAUAUUGAAUAAUAGAUACAUACCUAUAAAAUUCAACAUUUUAUAUUUAUUUUUACAAAAGUUCUAAUAUUUUUAAAUCUACCUAGCUGCUAGAAUCCGUUAGAAAAAAUGUAGUUAAUCAUAGGUAAGAUACUUAAUUCUGAUUAAUGAAUAAGAUAAAUUAAUCUUCUUACCCCUCUUAUAUUAUUUGUGAUAGCAAAAAGGAAAGAGAAGAAUAUUUCUACAUAGUUCUAAUAGUUGGAGUUUUUGAAAGGAUAUAUUUGUAAUAGUAAAAAUAUUAUUUCAUUUAUCCUCUGUUAAAAAAUAAAUAGUGAUUCAACGGUAACAAACUAUAGAAACAAAUAUGAAUACAGGUAAAAUUUUAUAAAAAUAAACAUAAAAAAUUAAAUUUUAUAAAAAUAUAUAUUUAUUAUUUGAUAUACUU
rnacentral:lncRNA from 1 species